AAAUCGGGCAAGGUUGUCCAUGUAUUUCUCUUUAUACUGUCUCCCCCCAUCUACAAAUACUAUGGCCGUAAGCGACGGAAGGAACUUGACAAGACGUCUCCACUCUUUUCGCCGCAAGUGUCGCACAGCCACCCGGGUUUUUUUUGGGACCAGAUUCUUCACCUGGAUUCACAGAUGGCGAGCUAGAAUUAUGGACUUAUAUUGAUGGACUUUGAAAUGAGUUUUGUCUCUCAAUCCAUUUGUUUAUUGUUUUGUUAUUUGCACCAGUCACUUUUAAUACAUACACCAAAACUAAAACUGAGUUUGCUGCUUCUUGUUUUCAUUUACACGUCAGGCUCUUUUAAAGGACAUUCUUCUGAUACUGGUUUUGUAGCCCAGUCAAAUUGCCUAGCCUUUAUAUGUUACAAGUGACGUUAGUUAAUUGUUCUGUUAGUGGUUUACAACAUAAAAUGAUGCAUGUAUUGUUGUGGUACCAAGAGCAUUUGCCUAAUAAAAGGAUAAUCACGUCAGUAUAACCUCGGGUCAUAAAAACAUUAACUCUUGAUAUGCCACAUGUAAACAGAUCUCUGAUCAUUUCCAUAUCGCAGAUCACCAUAUUUUUGUCUGCUAAUAACAAAAAUACACCUUCCUGAAUACAUCACUGUUACAUCAACAGUUGUCUACUUUAUUAUUUUAAAACACGUUUUUAUUGCUAGACCAAAUGAACGGAUUAUAUGAUCAGAUCCCAAAUGUAAAAAAAUAAACACUGAAUAAAGUUAAGCCCACCAUGAUUCAAAACACUGGCAUAUCUAGAUUUAAAGUGAAUUUCAUUGGUAGGAAACAUAGCAGGUAUCUUUCAUAAUAUAACAAUGUAUAAGUUAAAAAAACUGUUUUUAUUUACAUUGUAUUAACAUAGUAUGUAUGAAAAGUAUUUAUAGUCUUCUUAAUAAUCAAUGACAAAACCUUUACAUAAGUUAAAGAACUGAAACCCAUUUUAUUCGUGUUAACCAGCUUUUUGCAUGUUACCACUUUAACAUUUUUCUUUGAAGCACAGUCAUUCAGGCUAGAUGUCCUCCUUGCCCUCUCCAUAAUCUUCAACACAGUGUCUGUUCCAACAUAUUCAUUCUAGCAUUCUUAUUUAAUUCUACACUACCAGAAUCUGUAUCCCCAUUCUACUCCACCUAUCUAGUAUUUUAAUUUUAAUACCCUUAAGAUUAUGAUUAAUUACUGCUCUUUAUCUUUGUAUUUUUAAAUCUUUCUUCCCCAAUCUUGCAGAGUCACCCCACAGUGUUUCCUUAUAUUGGGUGGAAACACACUGUCAUGCUGACCAUGCCAUAAUUUGUAUCCCCAUCCAUAUAAUAGGCAAACAGUAUCCCAUAUUCUUGAUUUUUACUUUACAAACAUUUCUUAUGAUGACUAGCUACUCCUGAAAUUUUGGAGCAGUUAGCUCUUUAUACAGUGGAGCUCCAGGGGGAUACCAGAAAUAUCAGACUGACCUUGAACAGUUUUCCACAUUCUUGAUUUUUCUCCCUAAAAAUAUUUCUCAUUAUGAUUUUCUAGUCCAGAAACUUUGGAUCGUAUCCCUCCCAGCCAGGCCAAGCAGAGGAAGAAAACUCGUUCUCACUUGGCAGCAAAGGAACAUACAAGUACUUUCUCCAUGUUAUAACUUCAUUUUUCUGCAAAAAUACAUACAUUUCAAUAACACUCCGAAGUUGAACAAACCAAUGGCCUGAAUGUAGAUCUGUAAAAGAUUACUGUGCUUACAGUGUAUGUUAUUAUUAACAAGGCAAUAUCUACAACAUCAUGUUAUGGAUGUAUGAUUCUGUGGCCUUUUCUAAUCCUCUCUUUGCUGCCCCAAUUAAAUACAUCUGCCCAUUUCUGCCGUUGUUGCUUAUCUGCCGCACCGCUCACUGCUACAGCUUACACAACAAAACUGUUGAUAUCACAUAAGACACAACAUAUAGUCAAAGAUAAACUGAUACAAGAGGAUGACACCCUUUAGGAGGGUUAAGAACGGGCAUAGAUAAAAGCAAGACUCAUGCUCUGUUCUUUGCUCCUCUCGGCUCCUCUAAGAUGGGCUGAGGGGGGCCCGGUACCGAAGGGGAAUGUGACUCUAUCUGUUCAAUUGUAUACUCUUUACACUUAUCAUUUUGGCAUUAAAUCUUGAUUUUAUACUUAA